rnacentral:lncRNA from 1 species
AUGAUGGACUCAGUUGCUUUGCCUGAGACAGAGGACCAGCCUGAGACUGAGGUCUGUGUCGGGCAAAAUGUCUGCACACCUCGGACCAUACUAGAGGGACUGGUGGCACCAAGGCACUUUGGAAAACCCAGCCUGGCUGCUCCGGGGGAAGGAGUGGAGAUUGUUGUCCCAGACGCUGAAGGUUUGAGCUCUCUUCAGUCACCGCAGCGUGAAGAACUGAAGGAGUCAGACUCGACAGAAAACGAUGUUGGACAUGUUCUCCAAGAGAACCGUGUUCUGUCAGAGGAGAGUGAGGACCCUGUGCCACAGGCAGAGGACAGUUUCAGGCCUGCCAUGAGCUCUCCACUCAGGCACUAUAUUGAUGGGACUGUGCCUGAUCUGCUGAGGAGUGGGAGCCCCCUGCAAAGGAGAGUGUCCAGUCCAGUGUCUAACACCCUAAAGGUGGUCCGUCGGGAGGUGGAGCUAUCUCGGCGGAGGAGCCUCAAGCUAAAAGCACAGGUGGAGAAACUCCAUAACCGGAGUACCUCGGACUGGACCCAGCAGAGACCACAGGUGACAGAGGAGGUUCAGUCUCUUCUGAAGCUUCUGCUUCCUCUAACGGACGUGGAUCCGACCCAGCCGGGCUCCUCUGGUUCUGAGGAUCCUCUUGAUGUGGCCCUGAGCCAGCUGCAGAAGGUGGCCCGCGUCCUGGCCCUGAACCACACCAAGGGAAAUACUGAAGAUGGGGACAGUGCUGUUCUACAACAGGCCUUACGAGACAGAGACCAAGCAGUCACAAAGAAGAAAGCCAUGGAGAGGGAGCUGCUGAACAGCAAGACGGAGAUGAUGAACAUGAACAACCAGCUGCUGGAGGCGGUGCAGCACCGGCUGGAGCUCUCUCUGGAGCUAGAGGCCUGGAAGGAGGACUUCCAGCUGCUCCUCCAGCAGCAGGUGUUGUCUCAGCAGGCUCAGGCUCAGGCUCAGGCUGAGCAGUCUCAGAAGAAGGGUGGCCUGCUGGGGUCGUUUGGUAGAAAGACAGGCAAAGCCUCUCCCAAAACCCCCCCAUCCCCUUCCCCCGCUCGCCUGACCCCUGCUGCUGCUGCGGCCCCCGCCGUGAGCACGGCCAAAGCACCUGCGGAGAGAGAGGCCCCAAACCGCUGGAGGGUGAAUUUCAGGCGAGGUCGCACCAGCAAAGGGCCUGACAACACCACAAAACCAGAGGACAACAGUAAAAAACAAUACCUCACACAACCAUCAGGGGGCAGGAGAGAGAGCCAAUUCCACACUGUCUCUCUGGACUGAGUAAACAACAUGUACAGAUGAUGUGAUUGAAGAGAUAUAACUGUGCCCAACAUGUACACCUUGACUGUGGUCUUAUAGGCCAUGCACUGUUCUGUUGAGGUGAUGAGACCAGUAUUUGUUGUAAAGAUAAUUAGAAAUUCCAGUUGCACUUUUACUUUGACAUGUGAACAGAAUUUGAUGCUGAGCAUUGAUCUUGUGAUAUUAUC